rfam:Schistosoma mattheei strain Denwood, Zambia genome assembly, scaffold: SMTD_scaffold0001709
AUCCAGUUGACGAGUGCCAAAUAGGACGAUACGCGCGCCCUGGAU